UGGGGAAUAUUGGGCAAUGGGGGAAACCCUGACCCAGCAACGCCGCGUGAAGGAAGAAGGUCUUCGGAUUGUAAACUUCUUUGAUCAGGGACGAAGAAAUGACUGUACCUGAAGAACAAGUCACGGCUAACUACGUGCCAGCAGCCGCGGUAAUACGUAGGUGGCAAGCGUUAUCCGGAUUUACUGGGUGUAAAGGGCGUGUAGGCGGGUCUGCAAGUCAGAUGUGAAAUCUCCGGGCUUAACUCGGAAGUGUCAUCUGAAACUACGGAUCUUGAGUACUGGAGAGGAUAGUGGAAUUCCUAGUGUAGCGGUAAAAUGCGUAGAUAUUAGGAGGAACACCAGUGGCGAAGGCGGCUAUCUGGACAGUAACUGACGCUGAGGCGCGAAAGCGUGGGGAGCAAACAGG
rnacentral:rRNA from 1 species